UACGUAGGGUGCAAGCGUUGUCCGGAAUUAUUGGGCGUAAAGAGCUCGUAGGCGGUCUGUCGCGUCUGCUGUGAAAUCUCAGGGCUCAACCCUGACAUUACAGUCGAUACGGGCAGGCUAGAGUUCGGUAGGGGAGACUGGAAUUCCUGGUGUAGCGGUGAAAUGCGCAGAUAUCAGGAGGAACACCGAUGGCGAAGGCAGGUCUCUGGGCCGAUACUGACGCUGAGGAGCGAAAGCGUGGGGAGCGAACAGG
rnacentral:rRNA from 1 species